rnacentral:rRNA from 1 species
CCUACGGGAGGCAGCAGUGAGGAAUAUUGGGCAAUGGGGGCAACCCUGACCCAGCCAUGCCGCGUGAGUGAAGAAGGUCUUCGGAUUGUAAAGCUCUUUCGGACGUGACGAUGAUGACGGUAGCGUCUAAAGAAGCACCGGCAAACUUCGUGCCAGCAGCCGCGGUAAUACGAAGGGUGCGAGCGUUGUUCGGAAUUACUGGGCGUAAAGGGAGUGUAGGCGGAUAUGUAAGAUAGCGGUGAAAUGCCGGGGCUCAACCCCGGAACUGCCAUUAUGACUAUGUAUCUAGAGUAAUGGAGAGGAUAGCGGAAUACGUAGUGUAGCGGUGAAAUGCGUAGAUAUUAGGAGGAACACCAGUGGCGAAGGCGACUUUCUGGACAGUAACUGACGUUGAGGCACGAAAGUGUGGGGAGCAAACAGGAUUAGAUACCCGGGUAGUC